CUCCUAAGGGAGGCAGCAGUGGGGAAUAAUGCACAAAGGGGGAAACCCAGAUGCAGCGACGCCGCGAGGAGGAAGAAGGUCUUCGGAUUGUAAACUCCUGUUGUAGAGGAAGAUAAUGACGGUACUCAACAAGGAAGUGAAGGCUAACUACGUGCCAGCAGCCGCGGUAAAACGUAGGUCACAAGCGUUGUCCGGAAUUACUGGGUGUAAAGGGAGCGCAGGAGUGAAGACAAGUUGGAAGUGAAAUCUAUGGGCUCAACCCAUAAACUGCUUUCAAAACUGUUUUUCUUGAGUUGUGCAGAGGUAGGCGGAAUUCCCGGUGUAGCGGUGGAAUGACGUAGAUAUCGGGAGGUACACCAGUUGCGAAGGCGGCCUACUGGGCACCAACUGACGCUGAGGCUCGAAAGUGUGGGUAGCAAACAGGAUUAGAUACCCUGGUAGUCCACACCGUAAACGAUGAUUACUAGGUGUUGGAGGAUUGACCCCUUCAGUGCCGCAGUUAACACAAUAAGUAAUCCACCUGGGGAGAACGACCGCAAGGUUGAAACUCAAAGGAAUUGACGGGGGCCCGCUCAAGCAGUGGAGUAUGUGGUUUAAUUCGACGCAACGCGAAGAACCUUACCAAGUCUUGACAUCCUGCGACGCGCAUAGAAAUAUGUGUUUCUUCGGGACGCAGAGACAGGUGGUGCAUGGUUGUCGUCAGCUCGUGUCGUGAGAUGUUGGGUUAAGUCCCGCAACGAGCGCAACCCUUAUGGUCAGUUACAACGCAAGAGGACUCUGGCCAGACUGCCGUUGACAAAACGGAGGAAGGUGGGGAUGACGUCAAAUCAUCAUGCCCUUUAUGACUUGGGCAACACACGAACUACAAUGGCGUUAAACAAAGAGAAGCAAGACCGCGAGGUGGAGCAAAACUCAGAAACAACGUCCCAGUUCGGACUGCAGGCUGCAACUCGCCUGCAUGAAGUCGGAAUUGCUAGUAAUCGCAGAUCAGCAUGCUGCGGUGAAUACGUUCCCGGGCCUUGUACACACCGC
rnacentral:rRNA from 1 species